rfam:Oryza nivara chromosome 6, whole genome shotgun sequence.
CCAUAUCAUAGUUGUGGGUUUCUAUAUCUAAGGUUUGACCAUCUGUCUUAUUUAAUUUUUUUAUAAUUAUUUUUUUAUUGUUAUUAUUAGAUUAUAAAACAUAAAUAAUAGUUUAGACAUGACUUUAUUUUUAUUUUUUAAUAAAAUCUUCAAAUAAAACGGACAGAAAUGUUAGACAUAGAAACGUACAACUGCACUUAAA